rnacentral:lncRNA from 1 species
UGGUUGCAGUGAAGAACGGUAUUAUUUCCAGUAAGGAGGCUUCUGCUUAUCAGGUGGAAACCAAUGUGCCUUUAUCUGGGGGAAUCCUCCAGAGCAGGAGUGAGUAAGCUUAAACAGGGGAAGGAGCAUAUAUCACCAGCUUAUCUAGCUCAGCCACUUCCUUGAAGAGCAUUUGGCCAUUUCCCAUGCAGCCAAUCAUGUUGAACUGCACAGCAUAUGUUGUUGAUUACAAUUCGUCUUGUCAGAAGCCUCAGUAGCAAGGCAUGACUGUAUCACCCAUGCAGAAAAGGCUUCUCAAGGGAUACUGGGAAAGGCCCCCUGACAAUUUUGCUAUCCAGCCCUCUCUUCUCAUGCAAUGAGGAACUCACAAAGAAGCCUGCUGAAAUCCAACGUAAAUAUUUAAAAUAAAAGAAUGCAAGGCCCUGGAAGGAGUGGUCCUCUCUUGCGUUUUGGAUUUGACGUUUACAUCUUGGGACUCUUGAAUUAUGGUCGCUAUAAGAAGGACUUGAAUCUCUCUGUUAAAGUUAUGCAAAUACAGUAUAGUCUCAAUAUUUUUGGGAUUAUAUUCAGAGGCUUUUGGAUUAUGGUCAUAGAAUGCCCUCAGAAGAAGAGAAUGAUAAACCAUUUCUGAGUACUCUCAACCUAGAAAACCUUGGAAAGGGUCACCGUAAGUCAAAAUUGCCUUGAUGACAUGAAGUUCUUAUAUCUGAAAGGACGCUUAGAGCAUAUCCAGAUGGGUAUAUAACUCACUAUUUAGAUUAUUUUGGUGCUGUUUGGUUUGAAUCAAAUGACAGUGUCCACACGUGUUUUGACUUAGAGAGCCAUCCGUCUCACCCCCUUUUAGAGCUGCCCCAUUCCUUUUUGGCACAGCUCUCGGAGUGCUCCUGUUUAUCCCACUUCGUGAUUAGUUGACACCCAAAGAGAGCUGUGGGCAGUGAUAUCUAAGGUAAAAUCCCUGUGGUGUAUUUGAUGGAUUGCGGCAUAGAAAAGGAUUGCCAAGUACUCCCCUCAUCUAUUUUCAUCUACUCUACCAUUUGAAAUUAUAUUCCUAGUGGU